UACGGAGGGUGCAAGCGUUAUCCGGAUUCACUGGGUUUAAAGGGUGCGUAGGCGGGUUGGUAAGUCCGUGGUGAAAUCUCCAAGCUUAACUUGGAAACUGCCGUGGAUACUAUCAAUCUUGAAUAUCGUGGAGGUAAGCGGAAUAUGUCAUGUAGCGGUGAAAUGCUUAGAUAUGACAUAAAACACCAAUUGCGUAGGCAGCUUACUACACGAUCAUUGACGCUGAGGCACGAAAGCGUGGGGAGCAAACAGG
rnacentral:rRNA from 1 species